rnacentral:rRNA from 1 species
GACAGAGGUGCCGAGCGUUAGGCGGAAUCACUGGGCUUAAAGCGUGUGUAGGCGGCGGCGUAAGUACCUUGUGAAAUCCCACGGCUCAACCGUGGAACUGCUCGGUAUACUGCGUCGCUUGAGCCAGCUAGGGGCGACCGGAACAAACGGUGGAGCGGUGAAAUGCGUAGAUAUCAUUUGGAACGCCAAUGGUGAAAACAGGUAGCUGGGAGUGUGCUGACACUGAGACACGAAAGCCAGGGGAGCAAACGGG